AACAUAAAUAACCCCAAAAACACGCAAGACUACACGAACUAAACCAUUCUCCCACCCUAGUAUGGGCGACAGAAAAGGAACUAGUGGAGCAAUAGAGAAAGUACCGCAAGGGAAAG
rnacentral:rRNA from 1 species